GCUGAAGCAACAAAUGCCCUGCUUCCAGGAAAAGCCUCUAAGCAUCAGGUAACAUCAAAUCGUACCCCAAACCGACACAGGUGGUCAGGUAGAGAAUACCAAGGCGCUUGAGAGAACUCGGGUGAAGGAACUAGGCAAAAUGGUGCCGUAACUUCGGGAGAAGGCACGCUGAUAUGUAGGUGAAGUCCCUCGCGGAUGGAGCUGAAAUCAGUCGAAGAUACCAGCUGGCUGCAACUGUUUAUUAAAAACACAGCACUGUGCAAACACGAAAGUGGACGUAUACGGUGUGACGCCUGCCCGGUGCCGGAAGGUUAAUUGAUGGGGUUAGCGCAAGCGAAGCUCUUGAUCGAAGCCCCGGUAAACGGCGGCCGUAACUAUAACGGUCCUAAGGUAGCGAAAUUCCUUGUCGGGUAAGUUCCGACCUGCACGAAUGGCGUAAUGAUGGCCAGGCUGUCUCCACCCGAGACUCAGUGAAAUUGAACUCGCUGUGAAGAUGCAGUGUACCCGCGGCAAGACGGAAAGACCCCGUGAACCUUUACUAUAGCUUGACACUGAACAUUGAGCCUUGAUGUGUAGGAUAGGUGGGAGGCUUUGAAGUGUGGACGCCAGUCUGCAUGGAGCCGACCUUGAAAUACCACCCUUUAAUGUUUGAUGUUCUAACGUUGACCCGUAAUCCGGGUUGCGGACAGUGUCUGGUGGGUAGUUUGACUGGGGCGGUCUCCUCCUAAAGAGUAACGGAGGAGCACGAAGGUUGGCUAAUCCUGGUCGGACAUCAGGAGGUUAGUGCAAUGGCAUAAGCCAGCUUGACUGCGAGCGUGACGGCGCGAGCAGGUGCGAAAGCAGGUCAUAGUGAUCCGGUGGUUCUGAAUGGAAGGGCCAUCGCUCAACGGAUAAAAGGUACUCCGGGGAUAACAGGCUGAUACCGCCCAAGAGUUCAUAUCGACGGCGGUGUUUGGCACCUCGAUGUCGGCUCAUCACAUCCUGGGGCUGAAGUAGGUCCCAAGGGUAUGGCUGUUCGCCAUUUAAAGUGGUACGCGAGCUGGGUUUAGAACGUCGUGAGACAGUUCGGUCCCUAUCUGCCGUGGGCGCUGGAGAACUGAGGGGGGCUGCUCCUAGUACGAGAGGACCGGAGUGGACGCAUCACUGGUGUUCGGGUUGUCAUGCCAAUGGCACUGCCCGGUAGCUAAAUGCGGAAGAGAUAAGUGCUGAAAGCAUCUAAGCACGAAACUUGCCCCGAGAUGAGUUCUCCCUGACUCCUUGAGAGUCCUGAAGGAACGUUGAAGACGACGACGUUGAUAGGCCGGGUGUGUAAGCGCAGCGAUGCGUUGAGCUAACCGGUACUAAUGAACCGUGAGG
rnacentral:rRNA from 1 species